rnacentral:lncRNA from 1 species
CCUCUCUCUCACUCACCACCUCCAUCUCUGUCGCGCAUGAGGUUCCCUCGCGGCGGAGAUUUCCAUAAACCAAAAACAAAGCCAUCAUUAUCUUCCUCUUUUCAAGCUAAACACGAAACCGCCUUGAUUUUCCUUGAAACUGAGCCCUGCGCUCUAAUUGAACAAAAUAGUGGAAGAACCCUAGGUUUUGAAUAUGAAAUUAAAUGAAGAUCCGGUGGAAUUGGAGCCCAAAAGGUUGGGGCUCUAGCUCCUUGAUCUCUAAGCUACAAAUCGAUAACAAAUUCAAAGUGAAAUGAGGAAAUGAUUUGAGUAACCUACCGGAGAAGAAGAAGCAGAAGACGGCGACGACGAAAUUCAGGUAUGCUCUGGUUCGUUAACUCAUUCCUUAUGUUCUUCUUCUUUCUUAGUCCUCUACGCGUGAUGCAUUUCUUGUGGUUGUGCACGAAAUGAUUAGGUUUAGCUCUUGUUGUGUCAGAGCUUCAAGGUGAGGCUCUGAGCAAUAAUGAAGGAAAACAAGCUUUGAAGUGAGGUUCAGAGAGAGAGAAGAGAGUGUGAUUUGUUUUUGGUGUUGUGAUGCUGAAUUGAGAUGAUGAAGUGGAUUUAUAGACUGAGUUUCUGUUAGAAACUCAGUUGAAAUUCACUCCAAAUGAAACUCAAAUGUGGAAGUUAGUUAGCUGAGCAAAUAGUUAGUCAAGGUAGGUUAGAAAAUGAAUCUGAAAUGAAUUUGGUUGGAAUUUGAGAUGAGUCAGUUGUGAGUUUGAGGUUAAUUUGAAAAAUGAAUUUGAAGUUAAUUUCAUCUGAGCUUAAAGUUAAUUUCAAUACUGAGUUAUAGACUAUGACUCGAUUCCUGCAGAAUUAUGUUCACCUUGAUGUUUUUGUUGAUGUUGAACCAGUUAGGAAAAUGAGUUGUGUUAGAUUGUUUGCGGUUAUUAUUUUUAUUACUGUGAGUUAGGUUUACAUGUUAAGGUGGAAAACCAGUUGAGCAAUGCACUGAGUUAGACUGAAUCUAUUUGGAAUUCAUCUUUGCAAUUUCCUGAUUUUCUUGUUAAUCCAGGUUCUGGCUUGGAUUGCUGGGUAUGCAUGGUUUAUAUUCCUGGUUUGCAGAUUGAUUCAUGGUCUGCUCACGCUUCUCAUUUUGGAACUCAAUGCAGAAAAAUGAGACUGAUGUUUGCAGAAUCAAUGCAAUAUGAUUUGGUUAAUGCUACCAUGUGCCAUGUGAUUAGGAUUGAUGUAUCUUAGGUUAGGCAUUAGUUUAGGUUCAUUUGAAUGUACAUUUGUAACAUGUGAUGUAUUGUCAUGGAUUUAUGUACAUGAAAUUUUUGUAAAUGCAAUUUGGAUUUUGAAUGCAAAGUUGUCAAUUGAUUAAAAAUGGAACUU